UCUAGCUUGCUAGAUGCUGACGAGUGGCGCACGGGUGCGUAACGCGUAUACAAUCUACCUUUAACUGAGGGAUAGCCCAGAGAAAUUUGGAUUAAUACCUCAUAGUAUUAUAAUUAGGCAUCUUUUUAUAAUUAAAACUUCGGUGGUUAAAGAUGAGUAUGCGUACUAUUAGCUAGUUGGUAAGGUAAAAGCUUACCAAGGCAACGAUAGUUAGGGGGCCUGAAAGGGUGAUCCCCCACACUGGUACUGAGACACGGACCAGACUCCUACGGGAGGCAGCAGUGAGGAAUAUUGCACAAUGGAGGAAACUCUGAUGCAGCCAUGCCGCGUGCAGGAAGAAUGCCCUAUGGGUUGUAAACUGCUUUUAUACAAGAAGAAACCUCGGUACGUGUACCGACUUGACGGUAUUGUAUGAAUAAGCACCGGCUAACUCCGUGCCAGCAGCCGCGGUAAUACGGAGGGUGCAAGCGUUAUCCGGAUUUAUUAGGUUUAAAGGGUCCGCAGGCGGAAUAUUAAGUCAGUGGUGAAAGCCUACAGCUCAACUGUA
rnacentral:rRNA from 1 species